UACGGAGGGGACUAGCGUUGUUCGGAAUUACUGGGCGUAAAGAGCGCGUAGGCGGCUUUGCAAGUCAGGUGUGAAAUCCCGGGGCUCAACCCCGGAAGAGCAUUUGAUACUGUGGAGCUUGAGUAUGGGAGAGGGAAGUGGAAUUCCUGGUGUAGCGGUGAAAUGCGUAGAUAUCAGGAGGAACACCGGUGGCGAAGGCGGCUUCCUGGACCAAUACUGACGCUGAGGCGCGAAGGCGUGGGGAGCAAACAGGAUUAGAUACCCCGGUAGUCCCU
rnacentral:rRNA from 1 species